rnacentral:rRNA from 1 species
CCUGAACGCUGGCGGCGUGGCUAAGACAUGCAAGUCGCACGGUGUAGCAAUACACAGUGGCGAACGGGAGAGUAAUGAAUCGCUAAUGUACCCCGGACUCUGGGAUAGCUAUCCGAAAGGGUAGGUAAUACCAGAUGAGACCACGGUCAGGCAUCUGACUGUGCUCAAAGGUCCGCCGGUCUGGGAGCAGGCGAUUUCGUAUCAGCUAGUUGGUGAGGUAACGGCUCACCAAGGCGACGACGCGUAGCCGGACUGAGAGGUUGGCCGGCCUCA